GCCAGCUGCCAUAUCACCUGCAAUUCAAAGCUGGCAGCCCACUGAAGCUCAGCAGGUGUGAGCCUGGUCAAUACCUGGAUGGGAGACCUCCUAGGAAAAACUAAGGUUGCUGCUGGAA
rnacentral:rRNA from 1 species